rnacentral:rRNA from 1 species
CUGACCUCAAAUCAGGUAGGAUUACCCGCUGAACUUAAGCAUAUCAAUAAGCGGAGGAAAAGAAACUAACAAGGAUUCCCCUAGUAACUGCGAGUGAAGCGGGAAAAGCUCAAAUUUAAAAUCUGGUGGUCUUCCGGCCGUCCGAGUUGUAAUCUGGAGAAGUGCUUUCCGCGCUGGACCGUGUACAAGUCUCUUGGAACAGAGCGUCGUAGAGGGUGAGAAUCCCGUCUUUGACACGGACUACCAGUGCUUUGUGAUGCGCUCUCGAAGAGUCGAGUUGUUUGGGAAUGCAGCUCAAAAUGGGUGGUAAAUUCCAUCUAAAGCUAAAUAUUGGCGAGAGACCGAUAGCGAACAAGUACCGUGAGGGAAAGAUGAAAAGAACUUUGGAAAGAGAGUUAAACAGUACGUGAAAUUGCUGAAAGGGAAACACUUGAAGUCAGUCGCGUCGUCCGGGACUCAGCCUUGCUUUUGCUUGGUUUAUUUUCUGGUCGACGGGUCAGCAUCAGUUUUGAUCGUCGGAAAAUGGCUGGGGGAAUGUGGCAUCUUCGGGUGUGUUAUAGCCCUCAGUCGCAUGCGAUGGUUGGGACUGAGGAUCUCAGCGCACCUUUAUGGUCGGGGUUCGCCCACGUUGCGCUAGG